rnacentral:rRNA from 1 species
AGCAGCCGCGGUAAUUCCAGCUCCAAUAGCGUAUAUUAAAGUUGUUGCAGUUAAAAGCUCGUAGUUGAAUUUCGGGAUUGGCGCAUCGGUCGUGCCUCACGGGGUAUGAACUGGUGCAGUCAAUUUCUCACCUUCUGGAGAACCGCGAUGUCCUUAAUUGGAUGCCGCGGGGAACCAGGACCUUUACUUUGAAAAAAACUUAGAGUGUUUAAAGCAGGCAUUUUUGCUUGAAUACAUUAGCAUGGAAUAAUAAAAUAGGACGGCAUGGUUCUAUUUUGUUGGUUUCUAGGACCACCGUAAUGAUUAAUAGGGAUAGUUGGGGGCAUUAGUAUUCAAUUGUCGGAGGUGAAAUUCUUGGAUUUAUUGAAGACUAACUACUGCGAAAGCAUUUGCCAAGGAUGUUUUCAUUAACCAAGAACGAAAGUUAGGGGAUCGAAGACGAUCAGAUACCGUCGUAGUCUUAACCAUAAACUAUGCCGACUAGGAAUCAGACGAUGUUAAUUUUUUAAUGACUCGUUUG